GACGAACGCUGGCGGCGUGCCUAAUACAUGCAAGUUGAGCGCUGAAGGUUGGUACUUGUACCAACUGGAUGAGCAGCGAACGGGUGAGUAACGCGUGGGGAAUCUGCCUUUGAGCGGGGGACAACAGUUGGAAACGAAUGCUAAUACCGCAUAAAAACUUUAAACACAAGUUUUAAGUUUGAAAGAUGCAAUUGCAUCACUCAAAGAUGAUCCCGCGUUGUAGUAGCUAGUUGGUGAGGUAAAGGCUCACCAAGGCGAUGAUACAUAGCCGACCUGAGAGGGUGAGUGGCCACAUUGGGACUGAGACACGGCCCAAACUCCUACGGGAGGCAGCAGUAGGGAAUCGUCGGCAAUGGACGAGAGUCUGACCGAGCAACGCCGAGUGAGUGAAGAAGGUUUUCGGAUCGUAAAACUCUGUUGGUAGAGAAGAACGUUGGUGAGAGUGGAAAGCUCAUCAAGUGACGGUAACUACCCAGAAAGGGACGGCUAACUACGUG
rnacentral:rRNA from 1 species